rnacentral:rRNA from 1 species
UACGAAGGGGGCUAGCGUUGUUCGGAAUUACUGGGCGUAAAGGGCUCGUAGGCGGCCAUCUAAGUCGGACGUGAAAUCCCUCGGCUUAACCUGGGAACUGCAUUCGAGACUGCAUAGCUAGAGUAUGGGAGAGGGAAGUGGAAUUUCAGGUGUAGCGGUGAAAUGCGUAGAUAUCUGAAGGAACAUCAGUGGCGAAAGCGACUUCCUGGACCAAUACUGACGCUCAUGUGCGAAAGCGUGGGGAGCAAACAGG